rnacentral:rRNA from 1 species
AUGAGGAAAAGGGAGGAGCAAUACAACAGAUCAGAUAAAAUGGCAAUUUCAAUUAAAGUCCUUGCAACAAACUAUAUCCGAUCUUUUAUGCCCAAGUUGUCAGCGAGGACUAGUAAUCAUAUGUGGAAAAAUCCACCUCGUGGUGUGGUAAAGGUGAACGUUGACGCAUCUUUUCAUGCAGACAAGCUGUCCGGAGCUAGUGGUGCAGUUCUACGUGAUGACCGUGGCGAUUUUAUCGCUGCUGCAUCUAGGUUCAUCCCGCAUGUCCGUGAUGUUGAUGCUGCCGAACUAUUAGCAAUCAGAAAUGGUAUGUUCCUUCUGGCAAAUAUGGGAUGCAAGUCGACAGAGGUGGAAUCAGAUAGCUCCUUUGUAGUCGAAUCAAUUAAUUUGAUGGAUGAAUAUUUGGGACCUGAUGCCGCCGUUGUUGCUGAAUAUAAGCAUCUAUCUCUCGAUUUCUCAAGCUCCAUCAACCAAGUACCUUCAGUCCAGCUGCUAGUCAAGACAUGCUUAUUGCCCGGUAUCAAAUGGAGAAAGGCAACAGAGCUAGCGGCUGAGAGCGAUGAGGGCAAGCAAAAAGAACAUGCGUGGAAAAACAAAUUUGGGAUUCGGAGGCACCGAGAAGUUGAGCAAUGUUGUUGCACCAACUAG